AUCCAGUAGACGUGUCCCAAAUAGGACGAAACAUGCAUUCUGGAU
rfam:Schistosoma mansoni strain Puerto Rico chromosome 7, complete genome